rnacentral:rRNA from 1 species
CCCUUAGAUGUUCUGGGCUGCACGCGUGUUACAAUCGGGAGUACAACAAGAUUGCAAAUCCUAGUGGAUGAGUGGUUCUUCGAAAUUUUCUGAAGACUGGGAUAGUUGAUUGAAAUUAUUCAACUCAAACGAGGAAUUCCUUGUAAUUGUAAUUCAUUAUAUUGUAAUGAAUACGUCCCUGCCCUUUGUACACACCGCCCGUCGCUCCUACCGAUUGAACGAUCCGGUGAAUUAUUUGGAGUAGCUCUGGAAGUUGCAGAACUUCCUAUGUCACGUAAUUUUGUAAACCUUAUCGUUUAGAGGAAGGAAAAGUCGUAACA